CGCGUAGGCGGCAAUAUAAGUCGGUGGUGAAAUCCCGGGGCUCAACCUCGGAACUGCCCUCGAUACUGUAUUGCUUGAGGCCGAAAGAGGAUGACGGAAUUCCGCGUGUAGCAGUGAAAUGCGUAGAUAUGCGGAGGAACACCGAAGGCGAAAGCAGUCAUCCAGGUCGGAUCUGACGCUGAGGCGCGAAAGCGUGGGGAUCAAACA
rnacentral:rRNA from 1 species